AAAUAAUAUAUAUAGUCUAGGUCAUUUAAUAAAUCAAGCCAAUUAUUAGCAAAUAGCUAAUAAUCUUUUACCCAUAAUUAUUAAGUUCAAAUUAAAAUACUACUGAGUCCAAUUAAAUAAAUUAAGGGCCCAACUUAAUAAAUUAACUUCAUCAUCUUAUGUACUCCCAAGGUCUAACACAAUUAUAUUAUUGCUAAUCCUAUUGAUAUUAAUAGGCCCAAAUACUAUUUAAACCCAAUAUGAAAUUCUCAAAGCCCAAUUAAUCAAAAUAAAUUAAAAAGUAAAAUAGAACUUAAGUCUAGAAUAUACUAAAUCAACAUCUCUCUUCUUCCUUCUUUUUCAUUUUACGCAAACCCAUUUCUCUCUGUUCUCUCACCUCGUCUCUCACUUUCCCUCUCCCUCUCGCCCGGCGACGUCGCCAGUCCUCGCCGCCUCCGGCGCGGCGAGGCCGGCGCCUCUCUCCCCUUCUUCUUCCUUUCCUUCCUUUUCUUCUCCUCUUUCUCCUGAAUUUAGAAUAGAUCUAGGGUUUCAAAAUUUCCUGAAGUUUGUUCCUCCGGUGAACUCCGCCACUGCCGCCGCCGUGCUCGUCGCGCCGCCACCCCCUCUGAUUCAGGAAUCGGUGAUUCAAGAUGGUUUGAGAUGGUUUCAUCGGCAGUUCAUCUACAGCUCAAGACUCUGUUUUUAUAAGACUCAGCCUUCUGUUUGGAUUAUUAUUGAUUUAUAAACUGUUGUAACUAGAUGUAUUCUUUAGAUGUUAAAGAAAAUUGAUGUUAUCUCUACUAUUCUUGAUUUCUAUCUAAUGAGUGAUUACCGAG